AAUGCUUCGAACACCUGGCUAUGGAAGGUAGAAUGGAAAUUGUAACAACAAAAUCUUAAUUCUAAUAGAACACUAAUAAUGCUAAAUAAACUUUAAUCAAAUUCAAAGAAACCUCAAAGGAAUUCUAAAUAAAAAAUAAGAAAUCUUAAAGAAAUAUUAGAAUGAUUACAAACAUAUCUCAAAUACAUCUCAAUUCAAUCUUAAUUUAAUUCAAGUUGAAAUCUUACUUCAUUCCAACUUUAGGCCAAAAAACUAAUUAAUUCUUAAAUCCUAAAUAAUCUCAAAUAAAAUCCUAAAUCCUAAAACAAAUCUUGAUUAAAUCCUAGCUAAACCUUAAAUCUUAAACUAAAUCCUAAAUCCUAAAACAAAUCCUAAAUCCUAAAUCAAAUCCUAAUCCUAAAUCAAAUCCCAACCAAACCCUAACCAAGCUCAACUCUAAAUCAAAUCCCAACCAAACCCUAACCAAGCUCAACUCUAAAUCAAAUCCUAAUCAAAUCCUAACCAAAUCCUAACCCUAAAUCAAAUCCUAAUAAAAUCCUAAAUCCUAAAUUAAAUCCUAAUCCUAAAUCAAAUCUUAAUCAAAUCCUAAUCCUAAAUCAAAUCCUAGCCAAAUCUUAAACCCUAAACCAAAUCCUAAUCCUAAAUCAAAUCCUAACCAAAUCCUAAUC
rnacentral:lncRNA from 1 species